UUUUUAAGUCUCUUUCGUCAACCCCCAACGCACUCUCCCUCUGCAGUUUAGUCCAGAGGGAGUUUUCUCCUCUCAUCUCUAAUAUCUGAUUUCUGAGGCUUCGUCCUCGCCGCUACCGCUCAAGUUGGUCGUCGCCUGCCCCAUCUUGAUGGGGGACGACCUCCUCUUUCUACCCGGAGUCGUGGAUUCCUCUCUCCCCCUUCGGGCACCCAGAUCUAUGGGGUCUUCUCUGUUGACCUCCAGCAAAGAGCGAUUGUGGUUGGUUCGCAGGGCUCAUAGAGUCCAGAAGGCGCGAAUGGUACACAGAAGAACAUUCUUAGCUUUCCCUUUGCCAGUGCUGAAAUGUUUCUAGGUUGCCUCUCAUGGCAAAUGUGUUGCCUCUUACCCUCGUUUUUAGCUUCUUAUGCAUUCUGAUGUGGAUCUUUGAUUUGUUCUUUCUGUGGCUGAUUGGUUCUCCUUCGUACGCUGAUGAGUGGCUAAUUGAAGAUCAAAUGGACGGCGGCAGCAGGGAUAGCAAUGGAGCUAUUUCUGUACCUGUUUAGAAUUAGGGUUCAGUUUAAUGGCUGGGCCUUGUACCAGGGUUGGGCUAGGCUAAUCUGGUCCUUUUUGGGCCAUGUUUGUAUUAUGAGCUUCCUAAUGUUUUUCUGCCUUUGUUUCUGGGCUCAUAAUUAAUUCCCAAAUUGACACUUCCAGUUAUAAGUUUAGGGAGGUUGUUUUA